GAUGAACGCUGGCGGCGUGCCUAAUACAUGCAAGUCGAGCGAACAGAUAAGGAGCUUGCUCCUUUGACGUUAGCGGCGGACGGGUGAGUAACACGUGGGUAACCUACCUAUAAGACUGGGAUAACUUCGGGAAACCGGAGCUAAUACCGGAUAAUAUUUCGAACCGCAUGGUUCGAUAGUGAAAGAUGGUUUUGCUAUCACUUAUAGAUGGACCCGCGCCGUAUUAGCUAGUUGGUAAGGUAACGGCUUACCAAGGCGACGAUACGUAGCCGACCUGAGAGGGUGAUCGGCCACACUGGAACUGAGACACGGUCCAGACUCCUACGGGAGGCAGCAGUAGGGAAUCUUCCGCAAUGGGCGAAAGCCUGACGGAGCAACGCCGCGUGAGUGAUGAAGGUCUUCGGAUCGUAAAACUCUGUUAUUAGAGAAGAACAUACGUGUAAGUAACUGUGCACGUCUUGACGGUACCUAAUCAGAAAGCCACGGCUAACUACGUG
rnacentral:rRNA from 1 species